AGAACAUCCGAAGUAAUUCUUUAUGUCAGUGCAGUAAGGAUAUUUACGACACUUUUUAGUGAUCCAAGACCAUACCUACCGGUUUUCACGCAACAAAAGUUCAGAAUUAACCGAAUAAUUCGACGAUCCCCUGUUGAAUAGUUAGGCAGAGGAAGAAUGACGAAUCCCUAAAACGGAUGUGACAAAUUUCCUCGAAUAUAAGGAUCUGGAAUCGCAGUGGGGUAGAAUAAAACGGGUAGAACAGUAGUCAGCCGUCAUUUGGCUUGCAGUCGACGGAUCUCGCGACGAAUCAGGGGCAGAGUUUGGAGGGCAGUAGUCGGUGCGGUUGAAGUUGACAAACCCAAAAACAUCUGUGGGGAUUUAGAGACGUUCCAUGUUUAUCGCUGUCAAAGUUCCAUGCAGAAAUCAGGCAGCUUGAUAUCGGAAUAGUGAACAGAAUUCUACUAGAAUAUACACCAGCGGUGAAGAACAUCUCUCCAACGAUGAGCUUCCUCUUCGGAAGCCGAUCUUCAAAAACUUUCAAGCCAAAAAAAAAUAUACCGGAGGGUACGCAUCAGUAUGAUUUAAUGAAACAUGCAGCAGCAACACUAGGCUCAGGUAACUUACGACUGGCAGUGAUGCUGCCGGAGGGAGAAGAUCUCAAUGAAUGGGUUGCCGUAAAUACGGUUGAUUUUUUCAAUCAAAUUAAUAUGCUGUAUGGAACAAUAACAGAGUUUUGUACGGAAGAAAGCUGUCCUAUUAUGUCGGCAGGGCCAAAAUAUGAAUAUCACUGGGCUGAUGGUCAUACUGUUAAAAAACCAAUCAAGUGUUCCGCCCCAAAAUAUAUCGAUUACCUCAUGACAUGGGUGCAGGAUCAAUUGGAUGACGAGACCUUAUUUCCAUCUAAAAUCGGUGUGCCGUUUCCGAAAAACUUCCUCUCUAUUGCCAAAACAAUAUUGAAGCGCCUGUUCAGAGUUUACGCGCACAUUUAUCACCAGCAUUUCAGCGAAGUAGUUCAACUAGGAGAAGAGGCACAUCUCAACACGUCGUUUAAGCAUUUCAUUUUCUUCGUUCAGAUUUCUGUUCUGAAUAAGUAUAUACAUAUUUCAAAAGCAGAGAGCAACUAGAGGGUUGGAGUUCAUUAUAUCGAGUUUUUUCCAUCUAUUCGAUUUCGUACUUGAAUCUGAUGACCCUUGAAAUGGAGUUUAAUUUGAUAGACAGGCGAGAAUUAGCCCCGUUGCAAGAGCUAAUCGAAAAACUGACUGCGAAAGAUGCUCGAUGAACAUCUAUUAGUUCGAUCACCGUCUGUGAAGCCUCUCCAAAGAAUCUCGUCAAUGCUAUCUCUGUUAACUAUCUAUCGUAUGAUUAUGUGUAUUGUUUAACUAAUCUUGUCAUUGCCAAGAAAGUUUUAUCCCCCUCACCAAUGGGACGUUAUUAAAAAUUCUCUUUCGUCAUACUGGGGUGAAUUUAGCGAAGAUUAGUGCUUUCCAUAAAGAAAAUUGUUAACUAAUUUCAUGCACAGUUAAGAAAAAAAUACCACGCCAUGUGAUUUCGUCUUUAAGCAUGGCAGUGUUAUAUCUGUAUUACAUCCCAACGCAGUACGUGACAAGAGAGAUAGAAAUUCACCUAUAUAGACUCAAAUUCAUUAAGAAUGCUACUGGAAUUCUGAAGAAGAAUUGAUUUGUACUUUUUGUGGAUAGAUCAUUGUUGAAUAGAUAAAUUAUUUUGUACGUUAUGUCUGUUAGAAAUAACAAACCCUCUAGCUUAUGGAGCAAUUUUUUCUAGAAGCUUUGGUUAGUUCAUUUGAAGUUCGAGUCAGUUUCUAGUAAAAGGAUGCGCGAAAUUACCUGAUUUCUCUAGUGAUACAAGGGCGAUCGAAGAGUCAAGAUACGGUGACAUUGAUGUCAAAUUUAAUCGUCUGACAAUGUGUAGAAAAUUUCAUUCAACUCGUCACGCUCAAGGACGUGAUUUUCAAGUACUUCAUCGUUCGACACAGAAGUUAGAGUCAGAAAACGAGCCAUGCAUUAUUUAGUGAAGAGUAAAAAUUACCUUGAAAUGGUUGCAAGUUUUCUGAGUAUCUAAGUAGGAAGUAUACGAUAGAAGUAGACAAAUGUGGAAUACGUUGCACCAUAACAACCAUAUGAGGGUAUAAAUCUAAUUUACAAUCAUAAUUUUUACAUUAAACGCUUACAGAAAGAUCGAUUUAAUCAAAUAAUAACUAUACAGAACAGGGGCAAAUAAUCCUUUGAAAGAAUAAAAGUAAUGAAAGCGGAUUAUCUAUCUCCGUCAUCUGUGCAACACACGGUUUAUUUAUUGAUAAUUUUACAUUGCGUGACUACGAUUAACAAUGUAUUUUACGAAUAUCUCGGCACGGGCGCUGAUUGGACAAAUUUGCGCGUUACAACUCCUCGUAAAUUGCUUAUGCGUUACUAUUAGUUGUCUAUGUACUGCUGGAGGAGUUUCGAAAGAAUUGUUGUUUAUUUAUUAUCAACAUCAAUUUUUCCCUCCAAUAAAUAAACUAUAGACGGAUUGGUAGAGUCCUAAACUGUAUUUUAGCAAGGUCCUUCUAAUUUGUAAAGUGGGGGUAAAAAUCACGUGGGUCUGUCGCUGCUUUUCAUAAUCUAAUCUACGUAAACAGUAUGAAUGGUUAUAACUACAUACUUAAAACAACAUCCGACUCAUUCCACUUAAUUUUAGUUAUCUGUUCAUCGGAUAUUAUUGUAUAUAUUAUACAAAUUGAAAGCUUAAUUGCAGUCUAGAGAAAAAAAAGUGCAUACCGUUCUAUUGAUACCGAAUUAAUAUAUUUGCAAUGUAUUUCGUUUUAAUCGCUUUAAAAAAUAUAUCAUAUUUUUUAGGCAUUUACACAUUAUAAUUUAGGAAUGAAAAAACCGAUUAAACAAAAAAAAUAAUAAUGAACAAACGAACGAAUAAUGAUUUUCUACUUUAUUUUUUUAGCAUACUAAUCAAUGACAUAGGGUGUUCAAUGAUUAUUACUUUUAUUGAUCACAAUCAUUAUUGUCAUCAUAAUUUUCAAUCAUCGUUAUUCUAAUUCUAAUUACUAUUUUUAUUAUUAUACUUUGUGAUAGAAGACUUGCAUGUAUGUAAAUAUCUAAUCUUUAUUUUAUCUCUUAUUUUUUGUGUUUAAAGAAUGAUAAUUUAUUUAUUUGAAAAAAAGGAGAUCCUAUUCUGUUAUGUGUUAGCAUACAGACUUUUAUUUCGCCCGUUAUUUGAGAGUGUAAUAAUAAUAAUAACAAUAACAACAACAAUAAUAAUAAUAACAAUAUCAACAACAAUAAUACAUGUUAUAAGUUUGUACGGAACAUGCAUGUAAGUACGUCAGACGUAAGUGAAACAAACAGAACUUUUUGCUAACGAAAUAGAAAAAAAAAGGAUAAAAAAAUGGAGAGAUUGAAAUAAACAGGAUACGUGUAUUCACAAACAUAAUACAAACUAAUUCAGAGCUUCUUUCUAUCCUUGUAACGUAAUUUCGAAUUGUACGUUGAAAAUUCAAAGGAAUAUGGGGUACGGCUGGCUGAUAUUUUGUAUUGGAAAAAAGCACUGGAUUAGUACAUAACUAUAGAAACUAAUAUAACCACACAAUUUAAUCGCUUGUGCAUUUGGUACUUAGAUUGCAGGCUAAAUAGCUGAGAUUUAAAUGUAAUUAUCAGCACACUAACGGUAAGAGUAUGAAGAUUUUCAAUCGAUAGGAAAGUAUAUUCACCAUAAUAUCCAUACAUACCUGUAUUCAAAUAUAAAACUGUCUAUUCUUAUUAUAAAAAUUGUAACGCUAUUUUGUUUCGUUGCGACGCUAAAAUAGCACGAGAUGAAUCAUUUGAGAUUUUUAUUAAGUUUUUUUUUUCUCCCAAGUCAAUCAGUAGUCUAUUUUUAAUACAUUGUAUUCAGUAUAAAGUUCCAGAGCAUAAUUUUGUCGUUGUUGACAGCAUGUCGUUGACAAAUGAAGAAUAUUUCUUUGUUUAGUUUUCAUACCUAUGGCUGAAUUGCCGUAGUUGGAAUCUUACACGUAUUAUACCUCCACCUGCUAUGUAUAACUCGGAUUGGUGCAAAGAUUCGUUUUGUGGUAUUCUGAAAUUGAUCGGACAAAAGAUGAUCGAAUGUAAAUUAUUUAUUUUCUUACUGUAGUACUCCCGGAAGUUGCAAUUUUGAGGAAACUUUAGUCACUUAGGUCAUGAUACGUAUCUGAAGAAACACUUACUAGGUUCCUGUUUUCUCAUUAAUUUAUGAAAUCCUGAAGUAUGUCUAACUUUUAAUAUUAAUAUGUAUCAUCGUCACCGCAAAAGUAUUUAUUUUCAUUAAAUUGAAUUUUACGUCACAGUUUUUAUAUACUUUCUGUAUAACAGAAAAAGUAAAAGGGAGAAUACAAAAUAUUACAAUAAAAAACGAUUUGACUCAUGUUGCGAAUUUAGCUAUAGAAUUUAUGCAAUGUAAAUAGUAUUUUCUCAUGUGAAAUAAAUGAAUGAAACUAUCUAACUAUA